CUUCAGCUAGACCAUCAAAGCUUUGAGAAGCAAGAAGAAGCUUAGUUAGUGUUUCUGAGUUAAAUAUGACUUAAUGUAAUAUGUAUAAUU
rnacentral:sRNA from 1 species